GAUGAACGCUAGCGGCAGGCCUAAUACAUGCAAGUCGGACGGGAUUUGGGAGUUUGCUCCUAAUGAGAGUGGCGCACGGGUGCGUAACACGUAUGUAACCUACCUUAAUCAGGGGGAUAGCCUCUCGAAAGAGAGAUUAACACCGCAUAAUAUAUUUUUAUGGCAUCGUAGAAAUAUCAAAUAUUUAUAGGAUUAAGAUGGGCAUGCGGAACAUUAGCUAGUUGGUAAGGUAACGGCUUACCAAGGCUACGAUGUUUAGGGGAUCUGAGAGGCUGACCCCCCACACUGGUACUGAGACACGGACCAGACUCCUACGGGAGGCAGCAGUAAGGAAUAUUGGUCCAUGGGCGCAAGCCUGAUCCAGCCAUGCCGCGUGCAGGAAGACGGCCCUAUGGGUUGUAAACUGCUUUUGUACCGGAAUAAACCCUUUUACGUGUAAGAGGCUGAAUGUACGGUAAGAAUAAGGAUCGGCUAACUCCGCGCCAGCAGCCGCCGUAA
rnacentral:rRNA from 1 species